CCUAUGUCAAAUCUUACAUGAAGGUAUAUUCUACAGGAACUAAACUUUGAUUUUGUGGCACAUAUAUAAGCAUUUUCUUUACAGAAUACAAGACCUUGAUGGUUUUCUUUUACCUUCAGUUGGCAUAUUCUAAAUGUGUAGCCUUGGUAACAAGUGUAGGUAUUGUGUCAUCCCUCCUUCAUUCUGCCUCCCACAGGUGGCAAAUGCUGUUUUGGUUGUAUAGACAUCAUGAUAGUCCUUUGAGCAUUCUAUAAUUGUAUUCCUUUCAAGAUCAGUGGCCCCUUUGGCAGUGAUUUUGUAGAGGUUUUGUCCUAGUCAUAAAUAUGGUUCACUCGCUAUGGAGAGAAUGAAAAUGUGAGAUUGAGGAUUUAUGUUAAAAUAUUUUUACUAAAGAGUGUAAAAUAUUAGAUGGAAGCUCUUUGAUGCUGAUUCAUGAUAACUUUAAUAAACUUAAAAAAUGAAUGUAAUUAAGUCAUGCUAUGAUGGGCUAGCAGCUGGUUCGUUCAUGCCCCCAUGAUUCCCCACACCCUGUGAUUUGGAUUAUUUUUCAAAUUUGAAGUCUAUAUAAAAGAUAUUCUGCUGCGGAUGUACAAAUGUAAAUUGUCUUGUAUUUUGUACUUAUGCCAUGAGGUUUAAUCUCUAAUAAAGCUGAAUUAUUGUUACUCAGGCAAUUUUCUCGUUGGAUUCAU
rnacentral:misc_RNA from 1 species